rnacentral:rRNA from 1 species
UACGGAGGGUGCAAGCGUUAUCCGGAUUCACUGGGUUUAAAGGGUGCGUAGGUGGAAUGGUAAGUCAGUGGUGAAAUCUCCAAGCUUAACUUAGAAACUGCCGUUGAUACUAUCAUUCUUGAAUAUCGUGGAGGUAAGCGGAAUAUGUCAUGUAGCGGUGAAAUGCUUAGAUAUGACAUAGAACACCGAUUGCGAAGGCAGCUUGCUACACGAUCAUUGACACUGAGGCACGAAAGCGUGGGGAUCAAACAGG